UACAGAGGUCUCAAGCGUUGUUCGGAUUCCUUGGGCGUAAAGGGUGCGUAGGCGGCGCGGUAAGUCGGGUGUGAAAUCUCGGAGCUUAACUCCGAAACUGCAUUCGAUACUGCCGUGCUUGAGGACUGGAGAGGAGACUGGAAUUUACGGUGUAGCGGUGAAAUGCGUAGAUAUCGUAAGGAAGACCAGUGGCGAAGGCGGGUCUCUGGACAGUUCCUGACGCUGAGGCACGAAGGUCAGGGGAGCAAACGGG
rnacentral:rRNA from 1 species